UUAAAUGGAAUGGGCUAAAACAUGAAGCCCACUCGGAUCAAAACAAAAUCCAAAAAAUCCCUUAAAAAAAUUGAAACCGCCCCCUUCCAAAAACUCUUUCACGGUCUCUUCUUAUCCCUCUCACAUCUCACGAUAAACUCUGCUUCUGAUUUUUUUUAGGUUUUCAACAACCAUAACUAAAACUCUCCUUCUCUCGGAUUCUCUUUUUAACGAAACAACAACAAUUUCUCUUCAUCUCUUAGCACUAAAAGAAAAACCUCAAUCAAACCACAUAUUUACAACAAACAACGGAGGAUCAAACAAGCCAACAACAAUCAUGAACAAAUCAUACACCAACAACAAUCAAACAAGCCAACAACAAUCAUGGACAAAAAGAUGCAAAAUCAAACUAUGAUUGAAGCGAAAUUACCGAUCCGGACAUUCCUAGAGUGACGAAAUUCCAAGUGCGUGUUAAUUGAAGGUUGUGCGUUAGGCUCGAAAAAAUUAUUGCUGAGUGAUGCUGAUGCGGAACUGAAGCGUGCGAUAUUGUUGUAGCUGAGAUGAAUGGCUUUGUGCUUUGCGUUCAGAGUCGUGUCUAUAUUGAUGCGGAAGGUGAGUUGAUGAUGAAUGACGCGAUGUUAUUGUUGUGAGUCAAGCUUGCUGCUGCGUGAAAUUUGUUACGAAUCAGAGUCGAAUGUCUUAGUUGAGUCUUGUUGUUGGUGCGAGUCAAAUCAGAGGCAGAGUUCAGCCUUGUAUGAUGUGUUGAGUUGAUGAUGUUGAUCCGUGAAGCGGAGUUACCGAGUGCAGGUAAAAAUUAUUGUGUGUAGUUACAACUUGCAGAGGGAGUUAUGUAAGGUAUAUGAAGGUUGUUAAAGGAUUUGGAACUUGCAGGUUAUACAUGUUGAAUUUUUAUUAAAUCUGUUGCAUAUUUUGCCGUUUUGCAGAUGUUGAUUUAUGGAGAGAUUGUGAAGUUGUGUGAAAUGGCUCUGAAAGUUCCAGCCAUAAGGGGGUGUAUGGUCUAGCAAUUCGCUGGGCUUGCAUUACCAGACAAGGCCUAAGAAAUCAAACUAAAUCUACCUUAUUGGGGGAGGUGUAGCAUUAAGGCAAGGUGUUAAACGGGAAUAAAAUGGAAUGGGCCAAAACAUGAAGCCCACUCUGAUCAAGACAAAAUCCAAUAAAACUAAAAAAAAUUGACAAUUUCUUUGUAGACGCCCCUAUAGGGAGAACCCCUACCAAAAACCCCAAAAUACACCUGCUUCGGAGAUGCAUCUCCGAAGUUUUUUUUUCCAAAUUUUCCUAGAAUUUGGAGAUGCAUUUCCGAAAACAUCAAAUGGGGGUAUUUUCAGAGAUGCAUCUCCGAAAAUACCAUUUUCACAUUUUAGGGUGUUUUCGGAUAUGCAUCUCCGAAAUAUGCAAAAAUUGUCUUUUUUUUGUUUUGUUUUCUAAACAAUGUUUAGUCCUGUAUUUUAAAUUAAACGAUAACGCUUGUAGUAAAUUGUGCUUGAUAUAAAAAAAAUAUAACACGCAUAUUGGAAUAAAA